CCUACGGGAGGCAGCAGUAAGGAAUAUUGGUCAAUGGACGCAAGUCUGAACCAGCCAUGCCGCGUGCAGGAUGAAGGCCCUCUGGGUUGUAAACUGCUUUUAUAGGGGACGAAAAAGGGACUUUCUAGUUCAACUGACGGUACCCUAGGAAUAAGCACCGGCUAACUCCGUGCCAGCAGCCGCGGUAAUACGGAGGGUGCAAGCGUUAUCCGGAUUUACUGGGUUUAAAGGGUGCGUAGGUGGGUCGGUAAGUCAGCGGUGAAAUCUUCAAGCUUAACUUGGAAACUGCCAUUGAUACUAUCGAUCUUGAAUCAUCUGGAGGUAAGCGGAAUAUGUCAUGUAGCGGUGAAAUGCUUAGAUAUGACAUAGAACACCAAUUGCGAAGGCAGCUUACUACGGAUGUAUUGACACUGAGGCACGAAAGCGUGGGGAUCAAACAGGAUUAGAUACCCUGGUAGUCCACGCCCUAAACGAUGGAUACUCGACAUACGUGAUAUACUAUGUGUGUCUGAGCGAAAGCAUUAAGUAUCCCACCUGGAAGUACGAUCGCAAGAUUGAAAAUCAAAGGAAAUUGACGGCGAGAGAGNGCGAGAGACGACGAGGGAGGAG
rnacentral:rRNA from 1 species